rnacentral:lncRNA from 1 species
UUCAAAACGCGUGUCUCUACUCUCUACUACUUAAACUCAAUAAGAACGACCUCCUUUACCAACAAAAGAGCAGAAUGAACUCAAAGGCUUCAACUUCAACGACUCUCUUUAUCAGCCCCAAAAAAACUUCAACCACUCUCCCUUUGGUUGCAAUCAAAGUCGGUGGAUUCCACCGCAAAAAAAUCAAAGUCGGUGGCGAGGCAUGGCUCAUCUGAUGCUCGCAUCUCUCGUGAAUGGGUACUUGAGGUGGUGAAUCAAGGCGCCUCUUCCGGUGGUUGUAGAUUUCCGAUGAACCAUUCAGAGGUCCGUUUUCUAUCGCUGAUCUCCUGCUUUCAUCCCAUUACUACUUCGGCUUCCUUUCUAGAUUUAGCGUUCUUGUGGGUUUUGAGUGAUUCUCUUACGACGAAGCGUUCCAAGUCCGACAAUCAUCAUUAUCAAAACUUCCGUUUCCUGGGUUCCUUUACUGCUUUGAUUUGGCUGCCCGAGGUAAAAAAUUCUAGGGGGUUUUAUUACACUAUUAUGAGUGGCUGGUUUCUAAUAUGAGAUUCGGUGUUUGAGAACUCGGUGAGAGAUGGUUGCUAUCUAUUUAGGGUUUGGUAUGUGUCGUCCGUUUGAUGUAGGCUUGGCGGUGAAUCAAGGCACCUCUUCUGGUGAUUUGAUGAUGUCUUAUAUUGUCAUUACGUUCUUUUUGUUCGGAUCUAUGAAUAAGAGGUCCAUUUUCUGUCUCUGAUCUCCGGCUUUCAUCGCUUUAAUUCGGCUUCCUUCCUAGAUUUAUCAUUCUUGUGGAUUUUGAGAGAUUCUUUUGUGACGAAGCGUUCCGAGUCUGACAAUCAUCAAAAUUGGUUCUUUUCAUGCUUUGAUUUGGUUGCUUGAGGGACGAAAGAUCUAGGGAGUUUUAUUACCACAGUUAUUAGUGGCUGGUUUCUCAUAUGAGAUUUAGUGUUUGAAAACUCUGUAUAUCUGUUAUUCUGUCCAAGAUUUUCUCUAUGCCUUUCCUUCUGUUUGAUGUCUGCAUGGUGUAUUUUAGUUCCCUUUCGUGUGGGUUGCAGUUCUGAAGAUAAAUUUUGGGAUCUUAAAGAGAAGCUGGGAUGGGUUAAUACUUCUGGAAUAUCUUAAUCUUGGUUCAAUACUUUGAAAUACUACUGUCUUUCAGAAAUAAGAUACUUUCUUUAGAAAUAAUCAUGGUAUCUUAUAUACAUAAUGAAGAAGAAGGGAGCAUCAUCGUGAUUUAUAUAUUAUGAUUAGCAGCGGUUUUCAGCCAAACCGAUGUUAAGCGCGCCACUAACUGAAACACAUCGUUUCAUUUCCGAUUAUCAGGGGUUAUUUCCGCUGCCAAUCACAUGGUCAUUUAACCGGGGUUAUUUCCGCUGUUAAAUGGCUAGAGAUUACCAGGGGUUUUUAACGGGGUUUUAUAACCCCUGUUAAAUAUCUACUGCUAAAAACUGUAUUUGUUGUAGUGUAAGCUGGUUCUCACGGGUCCUAGAUAGGAGAUCAUGUCCAUCUUGGUUUGCCAUCUGCCCGUUCUUGACAUUUGUUUGUUGCAAUAUACAAAGGUCCUGAAAUGGAACCUUGCUUUGGGUUGCCUUCUAAUCAUACAGAGGUGGAAAUCAGGCUACCCUUCUUCGUAUUUUAGACUUGAUUACAAUUGUGUUAAGUGAGUUGUUCAUAUCGGGUCAUAGAAUGGAAAUCAUGGUCAUCUGAGUUUACCUUCUACCCACCUGGGACAUUAGUUUUCUGCAAUAGUUGAAGGUCCUAAAACGGAACCUAGGUUGCCUUUUUUCCUUCUACAAAUUAUACAGAGGAAAAGGUAUUCCAGUUACUCUUCUUCCUGUUUUAACACUUACAGUUGUUUCCAGUGAGUUGUCCAUAUUGGGUCCUAGAAAGGGAACCAUUCUCAAUAUUGGUUUGCCUUCUGCCCAUUCUAGAAAUCAGUCUGGUGGGGUUGAUUAAGUUUAUAAUUGAAGGGUAUUUGUGUUUGAUUAUGGAGGCACUUUAUCAUGUGGGUUUCGAGAAUUCUGUUGGAAAAAUCUUCUGAUUUCUAUGAGCAAUAUGAUCUUGUGGGUAUUUUCAGUUUAUGCGAUGCUAUUCAUGUCCCUUAAACAUCAUAAAACACUUUGUUACGUGUAGUUGUGGCUUUGUUUUUCGAUUUUAUAUGAUUGGUGUUCUGAAAUUUGACGUUCUCCAAGUUGUUGGGAGUUUCAAAGCAACUCUUCUGAAGGGUUGGAAAUUCUGUAAUUUUCGGUUCAAUGGUAAAUAUUCAAUUUGAAAGUCUUAGAAGAUUGUCAGCUUGAAGUAUAGAUUGAUGUAAUCCGGAUUAUGAACAUGUCCCCUCUGUCCUAUUUCAAAAUUAUUGAUUGAGGUUUCUUCUUGGGGAAAGGAAACAUGGAGUUGAAAGUACUGACCUUUUUUUAUUGAAGUAUCAACAAUAUGAGGCUAUGGGUUUGACUUGUGUUGAUAUUUUGAUGGAUUCUUAUGUUGUCUUGUCGUUAUAAAACAUAAAUGGCUAACGAGGUUGCAUACUAUCGUACGGUUGGUUGCCGAUUUGCUUUUGAAGAACCUGUCAGUUGCCUUUAUAAUGUAAGAAAAAACAUAGAAAUGGGUCCUAAAAUGGGAAAAUGUUGCCCUUCUGCCUAUUUCAAACUUGACGGUACUAAUCCACAUAGCAAAUUGGAUCAUAGAAUGCGAGCUUGCUAAAGAUUUCUACCCAAUCUAAACAUUGAAUCGGUAACAUUUUCUUGAUUAGUGUACACUGCUGUGUAGCAUUUCAAAUAUUGCCAAGAGUGACACAGAAAAGGGGGUGAUGGGCUGGAGAUGACUAACAUAUACUGUGUUGGAACCCUUGUUUGGCUUCAUUCAUGGGGUAUGUCCCCCACAUUGUUGACAGAGUGGCACCGGUUCGUGUUCGACAAUAAUUAAGUUUGAAAGGUCAGGGGUGUGGUUCUGUUCCCAGUUUGUGUGUAGGCUUGCUGUUUCCAGUUGCUGGAUUUUUUGUUCUGCUUGUGAACUGGCGGGCAUUGCAUUGUUUGGGGCUCUGCAGAUUUUUUGGGGUGCUGCAGUUUAUUUGGGUUGCUGGUUUUCGAGUUUGCCGGGAUGGUUUUUACUUCUUGUACAAGUAUAGCCCUUAUUUGCUGGGCCUGUGUUAUGGUUCCAGUAUUUAUAUAAAACCAUAAAUUGUGCUGGAAGAUGGCAAGACUCGAGAGGGUAUCAGUGUUGAUUAUUGCAUCGUGAAGCUAUGGAAGUGAUUUUACAUCACAGAAAAAACUUCUUAUACGAGUGUCACAGGUCACAUGACAUAAGUUGGAUGAUAUCAAAAUUGUGUACUGAGGGAAAUAAUGUUAUGACUUAAUUAAUGCUUCAAUUGGAAGAUGUGAAACUUACAGGAUUGGAUACCAUGGGGACGACAGCGGCUACUUUAUCUUUGUGGAGGAGUGCACAAGUGAUUUUGGUACAACCAGAAAUUAAGGUUGGAACUGGUACAAAUUACGAUACUAGUACCAUGUUUUCCAUGUAAGUUAUGGUAACCCAUGUAACUCCCAAUCACAAAGAGCAAUCUCAAAGGGUAAUAUUCAACCUCCCUCGUGUCUCAUUUCAUAUCAUGAUGGACGGUGGUGGUAAUGUCUCAGAAAGAAUGGAGCUAUUCCAAAGGACAUGGAGGGUCUAUUAUGAAUUGGGCAGGGUUGUCUCACUCAUUAUCUCGAUCUAAUCCUACACAUAGAGGGUUUAUUAUGAACUGGACAGAUUAAUAUCAAUUGUUUAGCCUAUGGAUUCGCGUGUUUGUGAUUUGUUAGUCUCGACAUCGAUUUUAAACAAGCAUUGCACUUGAAGGGAAAAUGUGAACGAACGCUCAUUUUACUUGACCCGUGAGGUCUAAGAAGUAAGAUGAUAUAUUGCACCUCGCCCUCAAAUAAGUUUUGAUGAGAAAGCUUGGAAAGGGUCAGUUCCUCGUGAAUAACCACGAGACCAAAUUUUCAUUUAUGCUGCCCAUCAGUAUGGGAUCAAUAACGAGACCAACCAUGUGAAUAAAUAAGGUUUCAGUGGGUACCAAUAAUGAUGCAACAAUGCCAAGUAAAUUGGAAGAAGGGCUAAUUUUAAUAUCA